CCUCAGCCUGGAUACAGAGGGAAACCCUGUCUCAAAAAAACUAAGUUAAAAAAGAAAAGAAAGAAAUACAAUCUCAGGGUGCGAUACUCAGGGAGCCUGAACAGCAUCUGUACUGUUUUGUUGCUUAAAUAAUAAUAUCUAAAGCAAGCAUGGCUUCGUUAGAAUUUGACAAAGCCAAGUGGUGGAUACAUGAGUAUUUAUUAUAUAUUCCCUGUAUUUUUUGUGUAUUUACAAUAUUUCAUAUUUUUUUAAUUUUUAAACCAUUGCUGGGGCAGACCUCACUUUCCAUAGCAAGAGAACGUUUGCCCGCGCCCCCCGCCCCUGCCCCACGGGAUGGGGACGAUGUAGGGAGGGGGCCUAGAAGUCAGUUUCCAUCCAGCCAUCUUCCUUCUACCUCUUGCUUUCUAGGGGCCAAACUUUCAGCAGAGAAGAGGAAAAAGGUAGUGUGAGAGCUCUUUAUAAUUGCUGAUUGGUAAGAGACAGGAGCAAAGGUGAGAUUAAAGAUGGUACCUCAGAAGCUAAACAGCCGGUCUGGUGCUCUCAGAGUCUAAGCCACUGUCAGCCCAUCGGAAUGGAGAUGAGGCCAGUAGAGGUGCUCUCCUUGCGGAGUCCGCAGGACAAGCCUUUCACCUCCAAAUGCAAACCCAUUUUCUACCCCUUCUUACCUUACAGACUAGAAUGAGAAUCGGUGAUUACUUGUCUGUCAGAUAUUAGGAUCUUCUUAAGGGGCUGCAAAGAAAAUCCAAACUUGCCUCCUUGAGUUGCCUGCCUUCCUCUCUUAGGUGCUCUGUCGGCCUCCACACUUUUGUCAAAAUCCUUUCACUAUUUGGGGGGAAGUUGCCACUCAAAUUUAGGCAGACUUAUCACUUGGGCCUGGUGGUGGUGCAUCACGGUAUGGGACAGCUGUUUGCCCCCAAAACAAAAAAAUAAUUUCAGGUUUCCUAACCAUUCUUGGGGGGUGAGUAUACUUAAUCUCUGUAACUUCUUACAAGUCACCCCUUCUGGACCUGGUUGGUCGUCGUCAUCAAAAUACCACUACUACCUUCGCAAAAAAACAGACUGCUUACUGUGUGUCAAGAUCUGUUUUAAGCAUUAAACUCGUUUAACCUUCAUAGCGACCCUAGAAGAUGAGUAAAUUAUUUUCCAUCCUAUUUUAUAGAUAAAGAGACGGAGACACAGGAAGGUGAGGUCACUUGCCCAGAGUCUCACAGCUGGUAAUAGGCAGAGUGAGGUUUUGAACCCCAGCUGUCUGGCUCCAGGGCCCAUCCCCUGAUCUACUGCGCUGUUUCUCCUGUGAAGUGCAGGAGUGGACACUUCAAAUAAACGGAUGUAUCAGCAGUGCCUGUGCAGAGUCUGGCAAUAGUAGAUGCUCAAUAAGUGGUUGCUUUGAUGAGAUGAUCGCCCAGCUCUCGUGUGACUUAACGUUGUGUGCUUCAUUCUGUCUUUACUUUUCAGAGGUCAGCCUGUGGAGCGGUGGGGAAGGAGGGAUCACAGCUGAGCUGGAAGAUUGUUCUGGUCCAAGUCACAAACCGCCAAGUCACAGUCAUCCCUUUUAUUUUUAAACACACACAUACCUCCUCGGACUGUUGGCGGGUCGGGGUCAAUUUCUGUGUGUUCUGGUUUUGGAUCAAGCUAAUUUAGAGAAAGGACUGAGGUGGGGCUGGAGGCUGUGGUCAUAGGCACUGGAAAGGACUGAUUUCCAGCUCAGUUCAUGUCCCUCUUUCCUGGGGUCUCCGCCUUGCUCAGGCUGAACUUUCCUUGGCCUUUGGCAUUGUGGCCAGCUGGCCCGACACAGAGGAUGGCAUCCAACCAGCAGCUGUUCUGCCGGACCUAGAUGGCUCUCGAUAAGCCCUGCCCC
rnacentral:lncRNA from 10 species